GCGAGCAUAGCAUAAAGGUAAUGCGCCGGGAGUGAUCCGCCCGGCUAUGCCGGUUCGAGUCCGGCUGCUCGCA
rnacentral:tRNA from 1 species